rnacentral:rRNA from 1 species
CGGAAUGUGUAAUGUAGCGGUGAAAUGCUUAGAUAUUACACAGAACACCAAUUGCGUAGGCAGCUUACUGAGCCGACACUGACGCUGAGGCACGAAAGCGUGGGGAUCGAACAGGAUUAGAUACCCUGGUAGUCCACGCCGUAAACGAUGAUUACUCGCUGUUGGCGAUACACUGUCAGCGGCUAAGCAAAAGCAAUAAGUAAUCCACCCGGGGAGUACGGCCGCAAGGUUGAAACUCAAAGGAAUUGACGGGGGCCCGCACAAGCGGAGGAACAUGUGGUUUAAUUCGAUGAUACGCGAGGAACCUUACCUGGGCUUAAAUGUAGAGUGCAUUUUCUAGAGAUAGGAAUUCCCUUCGGGGCUUUCUGCAAGGUGCUGCAUGGUUGUCGUCAGCUCGUGCCGUGAGGUGUCGGGUUAAGUCCCAUAACGAGCGCAACCCUUAUCGUUAGUUGCCAUCUGGUAAAGCAGGGGACUCUAGCGAAACUGCCACCGUAAGGUGAGAGGAAGGUGGGGAUGACGUCAAAUCAGCACGGCCCUUAUGUCCAGGGCUACACACGUGUUACAAUGGUCGGUACAGAGGGCAGCUACCUGGUGACAGGAUGCUAAUCUCGAAAACCGGUCUCAGUUCGGAUCGAAGUCUGCAACUCGACUUCGUGAAGCUGGAUUCGCUAGUAAUCGCGCAUCAGCCAUGGCGCGGUGAAUACGUUCCCGGGCCUUGUACACACCGCCCGU